CAGACAUUACAAUAUAUAUAGAUCAAGAAGAAUUGGGAACCAACUUGGUUUUGAUGCUAGAGUUGUUGAAACAAUGUUAAGAAACUGACGUUCUUUGGAGACAGUCUUUAGAUGUGCUUGAAGUUGUAUUAAUAAAGUUUGAUAGUGCCGGCAGUUUUACACCUUUGAGCACUGGAGAAAAAUAACAAACAAAGAUGAGAGGGAAAAAGGAUGAUGAACUGUUGAGCUUUCAGAGUGUUUAGGAAUCCAAAACCAUGAUUAAAGGUGGGUCUAUUUGUGACGAUUGGAAGAUUUGAACAUCAAUCAUUACCUUGGGAAAGAAGACUUGGGCACUACCAGUGAAGAAAGGUCUUUCCCGUCAGGCCUAGGUGCAAACACCUCCCAUAAUUCAAUUAUGAUGAGUCGUUAUCUCUUAUAUUAAAUCAUAUGCUGAUAUUCAGAAGAUUAUGAUUAUUAUCCCUUGGCAAGCUUUGAACGGUAUCCAACCAUCUUCCAGCUGAAUGAUCACUGCUAUUACAUUAAAUUUUAGUUUCUGUUUUUUGCCAUCAUUUUAUUUAUGUUAGUUUGGGAGUUUGUAAUUGUAUUGUUUCUUAUGUUUAAAUUAAAUCGACUUAAGCAAUAAGCGGUAUGAUAAUUUUUUUCUAUCAGUUAGUUUUUUUCUAAAACAAUCCAAUGUUACUCAAUAAA